GAUGAACGCUGGCGGCGUGCUUAACACAUGCAAGUCGAACGAAGCACUUAUCUUUGAUUCUUCGGAUGAAGAGGUUUGUGACUGAGUGGCGGACGGGUGAGUAACGCGUGGGUAACCUGCCUCAUACAGGGGGAUAACAGUUAGAAAUGACUGCUAAUACCGCAUAAGACCACGGAGCUGCAUGGCUCAGUGGGAAAAACUCCGGUGGUAUGAGAUGGACCCGCGUCUGAUUAGGUAGUUGGUGGGGUAACGGCCUACCAAGCCGACGAUCAGUAGCCGACCUGAGAGGGUGACCGGCCACAUUGGGACUGAGACACGGCCCAAACUCCUACGGGAGGCAGCAGUGGGGAAUAUUGCACAAUGGGGGAAACCCUGAUGCAGCGACGCCGCGUGAGCGAAGAAGUAUUUCGGUAUGUAAAGCUCUAUCAGCAGGGAAGAA
rnacentral:rRNA from 1 species